ACACACACCACCAUUCAAGAGAAGUUUUGGCAAGAUUUAGCCAUGGGCUCUAAUGGCAGAGAGGCAACAGCCAGAGCCUUUGCGGGCAGAAAGACAUGGAAUUUGCUCUUGUCUCUGUGUCUACACGCCUGGCCGUGUAUGGAAACACAAGAGGCAGCAGGUCUUCCUUGUCAUGCAGCUGGUGAAUGUGGCCUCUCAGUAAAAUCUUGGCAGCGCUGUCAAAAGCAGCCAGGUCUCUGCAUCAACCUCUUGUGCUCCAUUCACUUCUUCCCUAAGACUGUGGUGCCCUGGUGUCCUAGUGGGAAACCCUACAGGAGAGGAAGGAGCUUCACCUCAAUGGGCUCUGCUGAGGACGGGUUUUUCCCAGCUGCAGUUUGUGUCUUGCCGUCUCGAGCGCAUUCUGAAAAACUAGAUCUUUGCCUGCUAAACUGCCUUCCCUUUGAUUCUGACCUAGAUCUUUCCAACCCGUCUUAGCUGUGAGGCUAAACGGGACRCAGCAAAACCCACCUCGCCUUGGCCCCUGCUCCUCACCCUGCGGAGC